rnacentral:rRNA from 1 species
AGUGAACGCUGGCGGUAGGCCUAACACAUGCAAGUCGAACGGCAGCACAGUAAGAGCUUGCUCUUACGGGUGGCGAGUGGCGGACGGGUGAGGAAUACAUCGGAAUCUACUUUUUCGUGGGGGAUAACGUAGGGAAACUUACGCUAAUACCGCAUACGACCUACGGGUGAAAGCAGGGGAUCUUCGGACCUUGCGCGAUUGAAUGAGCCGAUGUCGGAUUACCUAGUUGGCGGGGUAAAGGCCCACCAAGGCGACGAUCCGUAGCUGGUCUGAGAGGAUGAUCAGCCACACUGGAACUGAGACACGGUCCAGACUCCUACGGGAGGCAGCAGUGGGGAAUAUUGGACAAUGGGCGCAAGCCUGAUCCAGCCAUACCGCGUGGGUGAAGAAGGCCUUCGGGUUGUAAAGCCCUUUUGUUGGGAAAGAAAAGCAGCAGGUUAAUACCCCGCUGUUCUGACGGUACCCAAAGAAUAAGCACCGGCUAACUUCGUG